UCAAAACUGAGUAGAUCCAAAAUGCUUCACUUAAUCACUUUGUCAAAUGAUUUAAAUUUCUUGGAUUUAAUAUUUCAAAAUUUGGUACAGAUACAUUCUUGUCUGGUAACAAUAAUAGACUCAGCUGGCUCUUUUCUUUUCCCUCCUUUAAAAAAUGUUAAAUUGUCUUCCUCCACACAUGAAUCAAUGUGUGUUUUGAAAUAAGUCAAAAUACAAAAUAUCACAUCAGAUUUUUGAAAGGUUUAAAAAUAGGUUACACAUUUAAAUGAAACACGAAGUUGGUAUGAAUGUAUUUGUUCAACUAACAGACAAUGAAAACAAACAGAAAUCAGGGCAUGAAAUUUAAACAUUUUUAUUGAUGUUAAUUUGAAGUGCUGAAUUAGUUAUGUUGUCAGUUCAAUUCAGUUCACUUCAAUCUGUAAGGGAAAUGAAAUGAAAUGAUGGUCUUUUCACACUGUAAGGUUUCCUUACAGUAAUGCAUUGUAAGGUAACCUUACAAUGCAUUACUGUAAGGUUUGGUACCUUACAGUGUUAAAAAACCCAACAGACACACCCCUCUGAGCAAGCACUUGGCGACAGUGGGGAGGAAAAACUUUCUUUUAAGAGAAAGAAACCUCCGACAGAACCGGGCUCAGUGAGGGGACGGCCAUCUGUCGCGACCGGUCAGCUGAUUUUCAUAAAUGACUCGAUGGAUUAAAGAGCCAUUGUGAUUUUAAAAAUGGCUCCAAUUAGUUUUUAAGAAAUGUUUUUCAGUUGAUUCCCCUACCUUACAGAAACCUUAUUUUGUCUUCUGCUCCAACAAAAACAAAUUGCGUGCAGACGAGAAAAACCGGCGCAUCCAACCCGGUUUUUUAGAUAAUUUUGCUACGUGGUUUUUGAACACUUCCACGAUUGUUUCCUCAACUAUUGGCUUUUGUAACUGCAUAACCGUGAGAAUGAACUCUGGCCACUCUUUGCAAAGAGAUUUGUAAACCAACUUGCUGAGGUUUUUAAAGUUCUCCAAUGGGACUUUAACAUAUUCUUCUUUGAUUUCUGCCCAGACUACAGUGGUAAACCGGUUUUGGAUGGCUUCAAGCCUGUCUAAGGGGAUGCAAACGCCUUCCUUCCCAAGAACACGCCUAACCACGUCCUCAAUACAGAUUUCCACAGAAAGCCUGUAUUCUUCUUCUUUUUCACGUGAUUGAACUUGACACGUGUCUGUUAAUGCCAAUAGACGUUGUUUGAAUACUAAAAAAACUGUGGUGUCAAUCAGUGUUUCGUCUAAAGCUGUUACUUUUUCAUUUAGAUCACUGAAAAUGUCCUUGGCAACCUUUUCCAGCACUUCUGGGCCUAAAGGCACUUUAAUGUUCUGGAUUUCAGCCCAGACCUUCUCCAACAAACGUUCAUGCAGAGAGUCAGAAGAGGGGGACAAUGAUAUUUUAGUCAACUGUGAAAGCACAGUUUGAAUCAGUGUGCUCAGCCAUAUUUUAUCCUCAGAGUUGUUUUCAGCCGGCACGCUGCUUUCAUGUUUAAC
ensembl:lncRNA